CUCUCUCUUGAUUAUGGAAUGUAUAUCUAUAACUAAAUGAAGUGUUCUCAACUUUGGGGUAGACGUAUCUCCUGUGGUAGACUACUGGAGAGGAAUUCUGUGGAUACGUGACAGGUAAUACAAUAGUCACUCUUGCUAGUUUUCUAUAGAUCGCGUCGUUUCUCACGCGUACGAAACAGGUACCGUCAUCACAAGCACGACUGUUAACACGCAGAUAUCAAAAGAUUUCCUUCUCUCGUGUGUCAUACUUUGAAGGUUUCGAGCAUGGAGAAUUGUUAAAUCAAGAGCAGGUACCGUCAUCACAAAUAAGACAUCAGAAAAUUUCCUUCUCUCGUGUGCCAUGCCUUGAAAGGUGGUGAAGUAGAAGUGGCUGGACACUGGAGUAUGGAAGAAUCAUCUAAAAUUUUUAAGUCUCCUCUCAGGGAAAUCAGUCGGUCGGGAAAAGCUUCUCUCAGGAAUCCCAUUGAAAUGCGUGCAAUGUGGGCUGUGGCCCCAUCUGAGAGAGCAAUGGAGAGGCCUGGCACUGGUGAUCACGGUAAGGACUAGACAGUGACGAUACCAGAAGAAUGCUAAGAAUGGCUUGGGUGGUUAAAUAAUGCGAGAGCAGUGGAUAGGUCUGGCAUUGGAAGGGAACCAGUGAGUUCUAGAGGCAGAGUGACAAGAUUUCUACACGAUUAACUCGAGAAUCACUCUUGAAGACCUGUAGGUUUUCAAGAUUGGAGGAGGAAGGGAGAACCAGGAUUCAUUAUUAUCUUUUAUUCAUUUCUUGUUUCAUCAUUGAAACUUCUUGUGGAGUGGAACUCUUAAUACUGUGACUAUGAACAUAAUGAGUGGGCUACAUAUAAGAUAUAAAGUAAGAGU